rnacentral:ncRNA from 13 species
GAAUGUGAUGAUGGGUCGAUGUUACUGAUUAGUUGAUGAGAUUAUCUCCGGCUGAG